GCUAAACUAGACUGAAAGGUACACUAAAAAAAAAAGGAAAAUUGGACCAUCUGAAAACCAAGUUGCCGUCUCCUUCAGCUCGACAACUUAAUUAUAUUUCUCUAUGAAUUCAUGCAUCACUCUAUGUAUUAUGUUUCCCCGGGGACACUAGAAAUGGUUUGAAGGUCAUGAUGAGUCCAAGUAGCUCGACCGCAUUCAAGAUGAAAAACACCAUGUGGUCACCUGGGAGGAAGGAUGCAGUUUCGCGCUUUUGUGCCCA
rnacentral:misc_RNA from 1 species